UUUCGUUGGUUGGCCAUGUGGCUAGGACCUCAAGUCGUCAAGGGUGUCGCCAUCUUGGCAUGGCAUUGUCUUAAGGGGAACCAAUCGGUCAGGAUGUGAAUUUCGUAAUUUUAAAACCCAAGGCAAUCCAUUCGCUUCGGGCCGAGCCCGUAAAACUCGACUUAACAUAAAAAUAUGUGAGCCAACAAUCACAUCAAUAGAAAAAUUAAACAGCCAGUCUUAUUUCGCCUUCAUCUCUUCCCCACGCUAAAUAAAACUACUUACCAG